rnacentral:rRNA from 1 species
GACAGAGGGGGCAAGCGUUGCUCGGAAUCACUGGGCGUAAAGGGCGCGUAGGCGGGAUGGCAAGUCGGUCGUGAAAUCCCUGGGCUCAACUCAGGGGGGUCGGCCGAUACUGCCGUUCUUGAGGGAUGCAGAGGAGACUGGAAUUCCCGGUGUAGCGGUGAAAUGCGCAGAUAUCAGGAGGAACACCUAUUGCGAAGGCAGCUCGCUGGGACGUAACUGACGCUGAGACGCGAAAGCGUGGGGAGCAAACAGG